UAGAGUUUGAUCCUGGCUCAGAACGAACGCUGGCGGCAUGCCUAACACAUGCAAGUCGAACGAGACCUUCGGGUCUAGUGGCGCACGGGUGCGUAACGCGUGGGAAUCUGCCCUUGGGUUCGGAAUAACUCGCCGAAAGGCGUGCUAAUACCGGAUGAUGUCGUAAGACCAAAGAUUUAUCGCCCAGGGAUGAGCCCGCGUAAGAUUAGCUAGUUGGUGAGGUAAAGGCUCACCAAGGCGACGAUCUUUAGCUGGUCUGAGAGGAUGAUCAGCCACACUGGGACUGAGACACGGCCCAGACUCCUACGGGAGGCAGCAGUGGGGAAUAUUGGACAAUGGGCGAAAGCCUGAUCCAGCAAUGCCGCGUGAGUGAUGAAGGCCUUAGGGUUGUAAAGCUCUUUUACCCGGGAUGAUAAUGACAGUACCGGGAGAAUAAGCUCCGGCUAACUCCGUGCCAGCAGCCGCGGUAAUACGGAGGGAGCUAGCGUUGUUCGGAAUUACUGGGCGUAAAGCGCACGUAGGCGGCUUUGUAAGUCAGAGGUGAAAGCCUGGAGCUCAACUCCAGAACUGCCUUUGAGACUGCAUCGCUUGA
rnacentral:rRNA from 1 species